AAGUGGAUUAGCGGCGGACGGGUGAGUAACACGUGAGUAACCUGCCUUAGACAUUGGGAUAGCCUCGGGAAACCGGGAUUAAUACCAAAUAAAAUCAUAAUGACACAUGUCAUAACGAUCAAAACUCCGGUGGUCUAAGAUGGACUCGCGUCCCAUUAUCUAGUUGGUAGAGUAAAAGCCUACCAAGGCGACGAUGGGUAGCCGGCCUGAGAGGGUGAACGGCCACAUUGGAACUGAGAAACGGUCCAA
rnacentral:rRNA from 1 species